GGUCAAAAUGGCUGGCAAGCAGGCCAUUUCAGCAUCAGGCAAGUGGCUGGAUGGUAUUCGAAAAUGGUAUUACAAUACUGCAGGAUUCAAUAAACUGGGGUUAAUGAGAGAUGAUACAAUAUAUGAGGAUGAAGACAUAAAAGAAGCCAUAAGAAGGCUUCCUGAGAACCUUUAUAAUGACAGGAUGUGUCACAUUAAGAGUGCAUUGGACCUGACCAUGAAGCAUCAGAUCUUGCCUAAAGAGCAGUGGACCAAAUAUGAAGAGGAAAAUUUCUACCUUGAACUGUAUGUGCAAGAGGUUAUUCGGGAAAGAAAAGAAAGAGAAGAAUGGGCAAAGAAGUAAUCAUGUAGUUGAAGUCUGUGGAUGCAGCUGUUAUGAAGAUGGUUAAACUUGAAACAAACAAUUUUAAGAAUUAUUUGGUCUGCAGAUGUUUUACUUUAAAUAAAUGUCUAUUGUAAUGGCUGGAGUUAUUCCAAACCUUAUACUGAAUAACUACUGAAUCCAUUUACUGUUAAAUUUUUUUCCAAAUUUUCAAGAUGUUUUUAGUAGUGUUUAACUACUUCCUGGAGCUCAGAGGCCACUUUAUCAGUUUUCCUCACUGGUUGGAUAGCCCAUCAGUUUAUGUAAGGAUGUAACUUCCAUGAGUUAUAGCCUUAUGGAAGCUACUAAAUAAAAAAGGGGGUAUGCACCCCCUAGUUUGCCAGGAUUGAAAAACAGCCUCUUCACUGCUAUCCAAAUAGAUUUGAUUUUGCAUCCUAUCAUUUAAAAAGAAAUUCUGUAUGCACUCCAACAUAGG